rnacentral:rRNA from 1 species
AGUGAACGCUGGCGGCGUGCCUAAUACAUGCAAGUCGAACGAUGAAGUCCUAGCUUGCUAGGAUGGAUUAGUGGCGCACGGGUGAGUAAUAUAUAGUUAAUCUGCCCUACACAGGGGAACAACAGUUGGAAACGACUGCUAAUACCUCAUACUCCUAUUUGACAUAAGUUAAAUAGGGAAAGUCUUUUCGGUGUAGGAUGAGACUAUAUCGUAUCAGCUAGUUGGUAAGGUGAUGGCUUACCAAGGCUAUGACGCGUAACUGGUCUGAGAGGAUGAUCAGUUACAGUGGAACUGACACACGGUACACACUCCUACGGGAGGAAGCAGGAAGGAAUAUUGAGCAAUGGAAGACACACGGACGAAGCAACGCCGCGUGGAGAAUGACACUGUUCGGAGCGUAAACUCCUUUUAUCAGGAAAGAAUAAUGACGGUACCUGAUGAAUAAGCACCGGCUAACUACGUG